rnacentral:rRNA from 1 species
CGGACUGGAGUCUGCAACCCGACUCCACGAAGCUGGAUUCGCUAGUAAUCGCGCAUCAGCCACGGCGCGGUGAAUACGUUCCCGGGCCUUGUACACACCGCCCGUCAAGCCAUGGGAGCCGGGGGUACCUGAAGUGCGUAACCGCGAGGAGCGCCCUAGGGUAAAACUGGUGACUGGGGCUAAGUCGUAACAAGGUACC